rnacentral:rRNA from 1 species
UACACUCCUACGGGAGGCAGCAGUGGGGAAUUUUGGACAAUGGGCGAAAGCCUGAUCCAGCAAUGCCGCGUGAGUGAAGAAGGCCUUCGGGUUGUAAAGCUCUUUUGUCAGGGAAGAAACGGUGAAAGCUAAUAUCUUUUGCUAAUGACGGUACCUGAAGAAUAAGCACCGGGUAACUACGUGCCAGCAGCCGCGGUAAUACGUAAGGUGCAAGCGUUAAUCGGAAUUACUGGGCGUAAAGCGUGCGCAGGCGGUUUUGUAAGUCUGAUGUGAAAUCCCCGGGCUCAACCUGGGAAUUGCAUUGGAGACUGCAAGGCUGGAAUCUGGCAGAGGGGGGUAGAAUUCCACGUGUAGCAGUGAAAUGCGUAGAUAUGUGGAGGAACACCGAUGGCGAAGGCAGCCCCCUGGGUCAAGAUUGACGCUCAUGCACGAAAGCGUGGGGAGCAAACAGGAUUAGAAACCCUAGUAGUCCCAUG